GGGCCGCUAGCUCAUUUGGUAGAGCACCUGACUUUUAAUCAGGUGGUGCUGGGUUCGAAUCCCAGGCGGCUCA
rnacentral:tRNA from 1 species